CUAGACCAAAACCAAUAAUACGGAAGUCUAUUACAAACAUAUUAUCUGGUAAUGAGAUUUAUACUUAAAGAUAUCUGGCACAUAUAAAUUAUUAACUGUCUACUGUUUUAGAUUAUUCUGGCCCAAUUCAAACUUUUCCAUUAGCUUCAGCUGGACAAUCGCAAAGGUCGUUUGAGGAUAGUGAUUCUACAAAUCAACUUUAUUAUUUGCCACCUCAACAUUCAGCAAAAGAUACUCAAUUGACUAAAUCUUCAGGACAAAUUAUUAGAGGUUCUGCGUCAAAUCAGUCAUUUUGCCAGGCUGCUGUUUCGAACUCGUCACCAUAUAAUCCGUCAACUAGUAAAGCAACUGAUGUACAGAGCAACAUCAGAGCUGUAGUGGAAAGUAAUGGAGCAAACACUCAAGAUGAUGUAAUCACUUUAUUGAAGACCAUUAGAGAACAGAACAAUCAAAUUUUGC